rnacentral:lncRNA from 1 species
GAGACUCCUGAUCUCCUCUAAUCCAUCUUCUCAUUGUCCUUUCACAGAUCACUAAACAGCAGCACCUGUGUUUCUGAGAGUAUUUUGGUGUUGCUCUAAUAGAAGAAAGGGGCUUUAAACAAAGGUGAUUUUUCCAGGGUCAGAGAGCAGAAAGUACCUGCCAUUUGGGAGCAGGAGCUGCCUGAGGAAUGGAACCUAACAACAUAGGAA